rnacentral:rRNA from 1 species
AAAUCUUGUCAAUAAGCAUUUAAUGGUAAUCUUGAUAAAAAAAGAGGACGUCACGCUACGAAAACUUAUAAGGAGGCAUCGGCUUGUGAUUUAUAAAUUUCCUAUGAGUAAACUCAAUUUUAAAUAUAUAAAAUAACGUGAAUUGAAUCAUCUUAGUAACGUUAAUAAAAAUCAAACGAGAUAUUGUAAGUAACGGUGAGUAAACAUGAUAAAAGCUAAUAAUAAUUUUCAAUUUUAAAGUCUCUAAAAGGUAAAAGUCCUGUAUUAAAUUAAAAUAUUAUAUAAUAAGUAAUACGAGAAAUAAUUUUGUAUGAAUAAAGGAGAACCACCUUCUAAGCUACUUAAAUUUUUUUAAUCGAUAGUAAACGAGUACUGUGAAGAAAAGAUGAAAAAUUCCGUAAGGAUAUAAAUUAAAUUAAAUGUUUUUAAAUAUUCGAAAUUUAAAACUUAAUAACGAAGUGCCUUUUGCAUAAUGAGUCAGCAAGUUAAUAAAUAUAGCAAGUUUAAAUAUUUAUAUAAAAACUAAAAAAGUCAUAUUUAUUAAACCUGAAACCAAGUGAUCUAGUUAUAAACAAGUUGAAAAUUCACUAACGUGUUUUUGAGGACUGUACUCACAUAUGUAGCAAAAUAUGGAGAAGAUUUGUGACUAGGAGUGAAAGGCUAAUCAAACUUGGAAAUAGCCGGUUUUUCACGAAAUGUAUUUUAGUACAGCAUUAAUUACAUUGUAAAUUUUAGGUAGAGUACAAAUUAAAAUAAGGGGUGUAAAAACUUACUGAAUUUAGUUUAUCUCCAAAUUAUAAUUUAACAAAAUUAAUUGACAGUCUUUAGGCGAUAAGGUUUAAAGACGAGAGGAUAACAAUCCAGAUCGUAUACUAAGAUCUGUAAAGUAUAAUUUAGUGUAUAAGUUUUUAAAAGGAUCAAAUAAAUUUAUAAAUAGGCUUAGAAGCAGCCUUUUAUUAGAGAAAGCGUUUUAGCUCAUUAUUUUUUCUUUUAUAAAUAAAAAUUAACCAGGCUGAAAUUAUAUAUCGAAGUAACGAAUUAAAUUUAUUUAAUGGUAGUGAAACGUUCUGUAAAUUGUUUAUUAAUUUUAAAAUUAAUAUUUUAAAUUCAGAAGUGCUAAUGCUGACAUGAGUAGCGUAAACUAUGUUAAAUAAUCAUAGUCACUUAAUGUUUAAGGUUUUCAACGUAAUUUUAAGUACGUUGAGUUAAUCGGUCCUUAAGAGGAGAGUAUUUGUGAAAACUGUACUUGAUAGGAAUAUUCUAAAAUCAGUUAUAUGUAAUAUAAAAAUAUUAUGGAAAUUAAUGAAAUUUAUUUUUAUAAUAUGUGGUUUUAUAAUUAAACAUUUUAUUUUUCGGGAAAAAAUUAUAACCCUAAAGACCGUACUUAAACCGACACAGGUAAAUUUAUCGAGUAGAUUACAGUGAAUGAAUAAAUUACAUUUAAGGAACUAGGCAAAUUAACUCUGUACGUUCGCAAUAAAGAGUACCUUUUAAUAUAUAAAUGGUAGCAUUAAAUAAAAAGUAACGACUGGUUACCAAAACCAUAGGACUCUGCCAAUUUUUUAAUAAGUAUAGAGUCUGACGCCUGCCCAGUGCUUAAAUAUAAUAAAUUUUAGUGAAAGCUUAAAAUUUUAAAUAUAAGUAAACGGCGGUUCUAACUAUAAGAAUCCUUAGGUAGCAAAAUUCCUUGGCGGGUAAAUUCCGUCCUGCAUGAAUGGCGUAACGAUUGCUUUACUGUCUUAAAUGUAAAUUCAGCGAAAUUACAAAGCCUGUGAAAAUGCAGGUUACUUACAGUAAGACGGAAAGACCCUAGAUCCUUUACUUAAUUUUUAUAUUGUAAAAAGUUAUAGUUUUGUAUAGUAUAAGUGGGAGUUAAUAUAACAAUUUUGAAAUACCACUCAAAUCUAUUAUUUUUUACUCAUUUAUAAUUUUUUAUUUAAAAACAGUAUAAAAAAGAAAGUUUACUUGGGACGAGUAUCUCCUAAAAUGUAACGGAGAUGUACUAAGGUAAGUUUUGAUAAAAAUCAAAUAGUAUAAUAGCUUAAACUUGCUUGACAAUAAGAUUGAUAAAUCAAAUUGGGACGUAAGUCAGUUAUAGUGACCCGAUAUUUAAGUGUGGAAUUAAUAUCGUUUAACAGAUAAAAGGAACUCUAGGGAUAACAGAUUCAUCGUGAUUGAGAGUUCACAUUAACGUCACGGUUUGAUACCUCGAUGUCGAGUGCGAUUCGUUGUUAGUAAAAGAAGAUAUGUACUUCUUGUAUAUAACUAAUUAUUAAAUAGUAAUUAAACUUAUAUUACAGGUAGGAAGUUAAUUAAAAAAAAUUUAAUUAAUGGGCCUACACAUCUAUUCCAAGAUGUUGAUCAAUGAGCUGAAUUUACAAUCAGUGAACCCUAUAAUAUAUGUAUAAUAAAUAAUUGUAUAUAUAUAUGAAGCAGGGCAUAAAUUUGUAUUGUUAAUUACUUAUAAAUUAACUAAUAUAGAAAGAAUACAUAAAUUAGUAAAUAUUAAAUUAGAAGUAAUUAUAAUAUUAUAAUAUGUAAACCAAUUUACAUCCGUAAUAAAAUCCCCUUAAAAGAGGAUAAUGGGG